rnacentral:lncRNA from 1 species
GUGGUAAUGAAAAGUAGCUCAGAUGUCUUUUUACUCAAGGAAAAGAAUCUGCAUAGAACUCUCGUUGAUUCAUCACAGGAAUAUACUUCAAGGCAUGAGUCUACUUGACAGUUCAAAUCUUAUACUGCGAGCUUCUAUAAACAACUACUCUUAAACAGUCUUCAGGAAAAAGAAGUUUUGCUGUUUACCUCAAUAAAACAUUCCUGGUCAUCUUAUUCCCUCUCUUUGUGUACAGUGGACCCCUGACUUACAAACUCAAUUCAUUUCCAUGGGCUGGAUGCAACUCAAGUUGGUCAACUGUCUUCAGGGUCUCUCUCCUGCGUAAUUUUAGGCCACAUUUUCUUCCAGGCAAAUCUCAGUGUCCUUAGAGAGAAAAUGGCCCACGAUUUCUCAGUGAACCCCACUUCAGGAAAGGACGUUGUAAUGUUCCUUCCAGAACUUUUUAAGGGAUAAAUCUGCAUCUGAGAGCAUCUGGAAACACAAGCACCCAGGUGGUAACUUGAGACUUUGGCCGGAAGUUAAAACUAAAAUUCUAGUCAUAACCCAAGUUGUCCUUAUGUCAGGCUGGUUGUAACACAAGGGUCCACUGUGUCUGCUUCUCUUGGGAUAAGAAAGCCACUUUCGGAGAAGGUACAUCUAUAUCAAGUCAGGAAGAAUCAAAUAUGUGAAAUGUGCUGCUAUUUAAAAAGUGAAUGCGGGCCAGGGAUUUAGCUCAGUGGUGCCACUGCCUGCCUCACAAAUACAAGGUCCUGAGUUCAAUCCCAGGUACCAAAAAUAAAUAGAUAAAUAAAUAAAUAAAUAAAGUUGAUCCAUUCAACAAGUAUUUAAAGAGGUAUCUGUUGACAUAUGAGUUGCAUGGAAUAUAACAACAAAUAAGAC